GAUGAACGCUGGCGGCGUGCCUAAUACAUGCAAGUCGAGCGAACGGACGAGAAGCUUGCUUCUCUGAUGUUAGCGGCGGACGGGUGAGUAACACGUGGAUAACCUACCUAUAAGACUGGGAUAACUUCGGGAAACCGGAGCUAAUACCGGAUAAUAUUUUGAACCGCAUGGUUCAAAAGUGAAAGACGGUCUUGCUGUCACUUAUAGAUGGAUCCGCGCUGCAUUAGCUAGUUGGUAAGGUAACGGCUUACCAAGGCAACGAUGCAUAGCCGACCUGAGAGGGUGAUCGGCCACACUGGAACUGAGACACGGUCCAGACUCCUACGGGAGGCAGCAGUAGGGAAUCUUCCGCAAUGGGCGAAAGCCUGACGGAGCAACGCCGCGUGAGUGAUGAAGGUCUUCGGAUCGUAAAACUCUGUUAUUAGGGAAGAACAUAUGUGUAAGUAACUGUGCACAUCUUGACGGUACCUAAUCAGAAAGCCACGGCUAACUACGUGCCAGCAGCCGCGGUAAUACGUAGGUGGCAAGCGUUAUCCGGAAUUAUUGGGCGUAAAGCGCGCGUAGGCGGUUUUUUAAGUCUGAUGUGAAAGCCCACGGCUCAACCGUGGAGGGUCAUUGGAAACUGGAAAACUUGAGUGCAGAAGAGGAAAGUGGAAUUCCAUGUGUAGCGGUGAAAUGCGCAGAGAUAUGGAGGAACACCAGUGGCGAAGGCGACUUUCUGGUCUGUAACUGACGCUGAUGUGCGAAAGCGUGGGGAUCAAACAGGAUUAGAUACCCUGGUAGUCCACGCCGUAAACGAUGAGUGCUAAGUGUUAGGGGGUUUCCGCCCCUUAGUGCUGCAGCUAACGCAUUAAGCACUCCGCCUGGGGAGUACGACCGCAAGGUUGAAACUCAAAGGAAUUGACGGGGACCCGCACAAGCGGUGGAGCAUGUGGUUUAAUUCGAAGCAACGCGAAGAACCUUACCAAAUCUUGACAUCCUUUGACAACUCUAGAGAUAGAGCCUUCCCCUUCGGGGGACAAAGUGACAGGUGGUGCAUGGUUGUCGUCAGCUCGUGUCGUGAGAUGUUGGGUUAAGUCCCGCAACGAGCGCAACCCUUAAGCUUAGUUGCCAUCAUUAAGUUGGGCACUCUAAGUUGACUGCCGGUGACAAACCGGAGGAAGGUGGGGAUGACGUCAAAUCAUCAUGCCCCUUAUGAUUUGGGCUACACACGUGCUACAAUGGACAAUACAAAGGGCAGCGAAACCGCGAGGUCAAGCAAAUCCCAUAAAGUUGUCCUCAGUUCGGAUUGUAGUCUGCAACUCGACUACAUGAAGCUGGAAUCGCUAGUAAUCGUGGAUCAGCAUGCUACGGUGAAUACGUUCCCGGGUCU
rnacentral:rRNA from 1 species